GGAAGCGAUCUUACCAGCACUACAACACCGAAUUCC
rnacentral:rRNA from 1 species